CAAGUCGAACGGAAUAAUGACUUCGGUUGUUAUUUAGUGGCGGAAGGGUUAGUAAUACAUAGAUAAUCUGUCCUCAACUUGGGAAUAACGGUUGGAAACGACCGCUAAUACCGAAUGUGGUAUGUUUAGGCAUCUAAAACAUAUUAAAGAAGGGGAUCUUCGGACCUUUCGGUUGAGGGAGAGUCUAUGGGAUAUCAGCUUGUUGGUGGGGUAAUGGCCUACCAAGGCUUUGACGUCUAGGCGGAUUGAGAGAUUGACCGCCAACACUGGGACUGAGACACUGCCCAGACUUCUACGGAAGGCUGCAGUCGAGAAUCUUUCGCAAUGGACGAAAGUCUGACGAAGCGACGCCGCGUGUGUGAUGAAGGCUCUAGGGUUGUAAAGCACUUUCGCUUGGGAAUAAGAGAGAUUGGCUAAUAUCCAAUCGAUUUGAGCGUACCAGGUAAAGAAGCACCGGCUAACUCCGUGCCAGCAGCUGCGGUAAUACGGAGGGUGCUAGCGUUAAUCGGAUUUAUUGGGCGUAAAGGGCGUGUAGGCGGAAAGGAAAGUUAGAUGUUAAAUCUUGGGGCUCAACCCCAAGCCAGCAUCUAAUACUAUCUUUCUAGAGGGUAGAUGGAGAAAAGGGAAUUCCACGUGUAGCGGUGAAAUGCGUAGAUAUGUGGAAGAACACCAGUGGCGAAGGCGCUUUUCUAAUUUACACCUGACGCUAAGGCGCGAAAGCAAGGGGAGCAAACAGGA
rnacentral:rRNA from 1 species